rnacentral:rRNA from 1 species
AUUGAACGCUGGCGGCAGGCCUAACACACGCAAGUCGAACGAGUGGCGGACGGGUGAGUAAUGUCUGGGAAACUGCCCGAUGGAGGGGGAUAACUACUGGAAACGGUAGCUAAUACCGCAUACCAUCGGAUGUGCCCAGAUGGGAGUAGCUAGUAGGGGGGGUAAUGGCUCACCUAGGCGCCGCUCCCUAGCUGGUCUGAGAGGAUAACCAGCCACACUGUAACUGAGACACGGUACAGACUCCUACGGGAGGCAGCAGUGGGGAAUAUUGCACAAUGGGCGCAAGCCUGAUGCAGCCAUGCCGCGUGUAUGAAGAAGGCCUUCGGGUUGUAAAGUACUUUCAGCGGGGAGGCGUUACCCGCAGAAGAAGCACCGGCUAACUCCGUGCAAGCCGCCGCGGUAAUUC